UACGGAGGAUCCAAGCGUUAUCCGGAUUUAUUGGGUUUAAAGGGUGCGUAGGUGGCUUUUUAAGUCAGGGGUGAAAGACGGUAGCUUAACUAUCGCAGUGCCUUUGAUACUGAAGAGCUUGAAUGAACUAGAGGUAGGCGGAAUGUGACAAGUAGCGGUGAAAUGCAUAGAUAUGUCACAGAACACCAAUUGCGAAGGCAGCUUACUAUGCUGUAACUGACGCUGAGGCACGAAAGCGUGGGGAGCGAACAGG
rnacentral:rRNA from 1 species